UACAACAGCCACCGUUUAUUAGAUCUUAGUUAUCUACUUGGAUAACUGUGGCAAUUCUAGAGCUAAUACAUGCACGCAAGCUCGGACCUUAUGGGAAGAGCGCAUUUAUUAGACCAAAACCAAUCAAGCUUCGGUUUGUGUUUUGGUGACUCUGAAUAACUAAGUUGAUCGCACAGUCUUAGUACUGGCGACGUAUUUUUCAAAUGUCUGCCUUAUCAACUUUCGAUGGUAGGUUAUACGCCUACCAUGGUUAUAACGGGUAACGGAGAAUAAGGGUUCGACUCCGGAGAGGGAGCCUGAGAAAUGGCUACCACAUCCAAGGAAGGCAGCAGGCGCGCAAAUUACCCAAUCCCAGAACGGGGAGGUAGUGACGAAAAAUAACGAGGUAGUCCACUUUGUGGCCUGCCAUCGGAAUGGGUACAAUUUAAAUCUUUUAACGAGGAUCUAUUAGAGGGCAAGUCUGGUGCCAGCAGCCGCGGUAAUUCCAGCUCUAAUAGCGUAUAUUAAAGUUGUUGUGGUUAAAACGCCCGUAGUUGAAUCUUCGGUCUUGAAGCUCGGUAACUCGUAAGGGUUUAACUGAGUCUUCUGGCCUAAAUUUUAGUAUUCUCCUGAUGCUCUUUAUUGAGUGUCUUGAGUUGCUAGAACGUUUACUUUGAAAAAAUUAGAGUGCUAAAAGCAGGCUAUAUGCUUGAAUAAAGUGCAUGGAAUAAUGGAAUAGGACUUUAGUUUUAUUUUGUUGGUUUUCGAAAUUAAAGUAAUGAUUAAGAGGAACAGACGGGGGCAUUAGUAUUGUUGCGUUAGAGGUGAAAUUCUUGGAUCGCAGCAAGACUAACAACUGCGAAAGCAU
rnacentral:rRNA from 1 species